UGUACCUUCUGGCUGCCGUACAUCACCAUGUGUCUAACGCCAUGCCAUGGCGUUAGACACAUGGUGAUGUACGGCAGCCAGAAGGUACA
rnacentral:pre_miRNA from 1 species